GGAAGUCUCUCAACAAGGAUAAGAGUAGGAUUGGAGAAGGGUCAAACUCUCUGGUCCAAACUCAGAGACAAAUGUGGGGAAAUAAAAUGCAUGCAGAAAUAGAUGUGGGGAAAUAGAAAACGCACUGCCGAGGGCCCAGAAAUGGGAAUAAGCGGAUAUUUCUAACAUUAGUUCAGCUAGUUCGGUCCAAAGGGAACUUUCUCACCCAGCACUGGAGCCCUGACUCAGCAGCUAUCCCAUUACCCCAAGGUGUUUCUCUUCAGACAUGGAAAAACAAACAGCCAUUGGUAGCUGACUUGUGUCCUAAACCCACACAGGACACAGACUUGAGACACUUGCCAGGUCAGCCCCUGGGUAAGUGCCAGCUUCCUCCAGCUGGAGAUGGAGAGGACAGUUGUGAAUAUGACCCUGAACUAAGUGGAGAACUGGUAGCUGGAAAGUGGAAAGUGAACAUAAUGUCUAAGACAGAGUCAGAGAAAUCACCAGUUCAUCAGAAACGGUACGGGACAGGGAGUUAGCUAAAGGGGGAGUUCUGAGGACAACACUCUGGAUACUGAGCUGACUUGAAAACUAAGAGUGACAGGAAUCCAAGAAGGAAGAGAGAACAUUAGAAAUCUUGCUUGCGCUGAAAGCAAGUCAGCCAGAUAAACACAGGUGUGGCUGGAGCCAAGACUGCAGGAGGUCAGACAAAGACAAAGUGCACAGUUGUGGUCACGCUCUGUCAGAGGCAGCAUGGGGAGACAGCAAGAGGCUAUCACUGGGAACCAGACCUCAACUGUUCACUUAAGUGAACAGUUUAAAUCCUGGCUCCACCACUUACUAGCUGAGUGACUCUGGGCAAGUAGCUUCGCCUCUCUGAAUCCUUGCCCUGCAGAGAAUUCUGCGAAAGAUAAAUAAGGUGUAAAAUACCACAGCAAAGUGUCUGCCCCACAGUAAGAGCCCAUAAAAGCUGCCCCUCCUCGAUCUUAGAUUUUAACUUGUAUUGUACUCUGGAGCCCUACUUGUUAAGGGAGCCCAAUGGUGGCAGCUUCUGACUGUGUGUAUGUGUGGUGCAGGGAGGCAGGAGGGUGUGUGUAGACAGGAAGUAGAUCCACCUGCUUUACCCCAGGUUUGUUGAAUAUACCUGUCCUUAAAAAAAAAAAAAAAAAAAAAAAGAAACCAUACACACACACACAACUAGCUAUGGAUAACAACUCCUUUGGCAUCUCCCAGACAGGUAAGGCUCGGUGUGCCUUACCUGCCUGGGAGAUGCCAAAGGAGUUGUCAUCCAUAGCUAGUUGUGUGUGUGUGUGUGUGUGUGUGUGUUUUGUUUGUUUUUGUUUUUUAGGACAGGUAAAUUCAACAAAUCUUAGCAAAGCUUGUUCCUAACUGAAGUAGUUUUUCUUCUCAAGCAACAAUCUCUUCCAAGAAGUAGUAGGCAAUGUGUCUGAAGUUGAACAAAGAAAACUGAUUCAGUCUGACGAACACACAUCUGAAAUUGCUUUAAGGAAUCUAUGCUCCACAUACAGAGGCAGGGGCUGGAAAUCACACCUCCCAGGGCUGGCCUUAGUGGUCCCCCUUGUGGGAAAGCUGAAGGAAGGAUGAGGGCACAGGCUUCCACUUCACAUGCCCAGGCCUCCCUCCUGCCACCUCGGCUUUGGACACCCAGAAGAUGGGAGCAUCUUGAAUCUUAGAGAGGCAGGGCCAUCAGGAUUCAGUGCAAAUGUCCCUUGGGUCCCCCG
rnacentral:lncRNA from 10 species